GCAAAAAACGGAUGUAUGUGGUC
rnacentral:siRNA from 1 species